rnacentral:rRNA from 1 species
CGUAAAUAGAACGACUCUCGGCAACGGAUAUCUCGGCUCUUGCAUCGAUGAAGAACGUAGCGAAAUGCGAUACGUGGUGUGAAUUGCAGAAUCCCGUGAACCAUCGAGUUUUUGAACGCAAGUUGCGCCCGAAGCCUUCAGGUUGAGGGCACGUCUGCCUGGGU